rnacentral:rRNA from 1 species
GACAGAGGUGCCGAGCGUUAGGCGGAAUCACUGGGCUUAAAGCGUGUGUAGGCGGAUCCGUAAGUACCUUGUGAAAUCCCACGGCUCAACCGUGGAACUGCUUGGUAUACUGCGGGUCUUGAGCCACCUAGGGGCGAGCGGAACAAGUGGUGGAGCGGUGAAAUGCGUAGAUAUCACUUGGAACGCCAAUGGUGAAAACAGCUCGCUGGGGGGUGUACUGACGCUGAGACACGAAAGCCAGGGGAGCGAAACGGG